ACGCAAUAGAUACCCUGGUAGUCCACGCCCUAAACGAUGUCUACUAGUUGUUGGGAGAGUAAAAUCUCUUAGUAAACGCAGCUAAACGCGUGAAGUAGACCGCCUGGGGAGUACGGUCGCAAGAUUAAAACUCAAAGGAAUUGACGGGGGCCCGGCACAAGCGGUGGAUUAUGUGGAUUAAAUUCGAUGCAACGCGAAAAACCUUAACCUGGCCUUGACAUGCUACUAACGAAGCAGAGAUGCAUUAGGUGCCGAAACGGGAAAGUAGACACAGGUGCUGCAUGGCUGUCGUCAGCUUGUGUCGUGAGAUGUUGGGUUAAGUCCCGCAACGAGCGCAACCCUUGCC
rnacentral:rRNA from 1 species